rnacentral:rRNA from 1 species
UGCAGUCGACGGCAGCACGAGAGAGCUUGCUCUCUUGGUGGCGAGUGGCGGACGGGUGAGGAAUACAUCGGAAUCUACCUUUUGGUGGGGGAUAACGUAGGGAAACUUACGCUAAUACCGCAUACGCCCUUCGGGGGAAAGCCGGGGACCUUCGGGCCUGGCGCUGAUAGAUGAGCCGAUGUCGGAUUAGCUAGUUGGUGAGGUAAUGGCUCACCAAGGCGACGAUCCGUAGCUGGUCUGAGAGGAUGAUCAGCCACACUGGAACUGAGACACGGUCCAGACUCCUACGGGAGGCAGCAGUGGGGAAUAUUGGACAAUGGGCGCAAGCCUGAUCCAGCCAUACCGCGUGGGUGAAGAAGGCCUUCGGGUUGUAAAGCCCUUUUGUUGGGAAAGAAAAGCGAUCGGUUAAUACCCGGUUGUUCUGACGGUACCCAAAGAAUAAGCACCGGCUAACUUCGUGCCAGCAGCCGCGGUAAUACGAAGGGUGCAAGCGUUACUCGGAAUUACUGGGCGUAAAGCGUGCGUAGGUGGUGGUUUAAGUCCGUUGUGAAAGCCCUGGGCUCAACCUGGGAAUUGCAGUGGAUACUGGGUCACUAGAGUGUGGUAGAGGAUAGUGGAAUUUCCGGUGUAGCAGUGAAAUGCGUAGAGAUCGGAAGGAACAUCUGUGGCGAAGGCGACUAUCUGGGCCAACACUGACACUGAGGCACGAAAGCGUGGGGAGCAAACAGGAUUA